GAUACAUCGAUUGCAAGCACUGGCAAAUCAAGCCACCUUAUGACUUGGAGCACCUGUACAGAAAUAGGAAGGACUUGUGCUCCCUAAAUCUACAAGUCUUUUGCAACGGUGGGGGUGUCAUCAUCCAGCCGACCUCAAAGGGGCCUGGAAGCACGCAUGACAGCCUCAUCUGGGUGGACUGUGCUCUGCCUGGGAGCUUCAAGGGUAGAAAACUGCAUAAUGGCUGGUUGCUAGGUGACUCUCGCUAUGCCUGAGAGCCAUGGGUGCUCACCCUCCUGUCCGUGGCUGGCCCAGCUGAGCAGCAGUGCAGUGCAGCCCCCACCCAUGCAAGAGAGGUCAUACAGUGCACCUUUGGUGUUCUGAGCAGGACACAGCGUAUCCGUCCAGCAUGGCAGUGACAUCAAUAAUAAUGAUGCAGUGCCAUGGGAUCAGGUGCCCCACUGUCAUGUAAUUGUACAGUGUAUCUCGGACAAAACACACAAGGCCAACAAGUAGAGAGCGACUACCAGUGACUGUGUCCCUUCUGUUCAAAGUGCACGUCAACAGAAAGAAUGCAUUGUGAUAGUUGGA